rnacentral:rRNA from 1 species
AUUGAACGCUAGCGGCAGGCCUAAUACAUGCAAGUCGAACGAUAUUAUCCAGCUUGCUGGAUAUGAAAGUGGCGCACGGGUGCGUAACGCGUAUGCAACCUACCUUAUUCAGGGGGAUAGCCCGAAGAAAUUCGGAUUAACACCGCAUAAAAUCACAGUUCAGCAUUGGACAAUGAUCAAAUAUUUAUAGGAAUAAGAUGGGCAUGCGUGUCAUUAGCUAGUUGGCGGGGUACGGCCCACCAAGGCGACGAUGACUAGGGGAUCUGAGAGGAUGGCCCCCCACACUGGUACUGAGACACGGACCAGACUCCUACGGGAGGCAGCAGUAAGGAAUAUUGGUCAAUGGAGGGAACUCUGUACCAGCCAUGCCGCGUGCAGGAAGACGGCCCUCUGGGUUGUAAACUGCUUUUAUUCGGGAAUAAACCUAUUUACGUGUAAAUAGCUGAAUGUACCGAAGGAAUAAGGAUCGGCUAACUCCGUGCCAGCAGCCGCAGUAA